rnacentral:rRNA from 1 species
UGGGGAAUAUUGCACAAUGGGCGCAAGCCUGAUGCAGCCAUGCCGCGUGUGUGAAGAAGGCCUUCGGGUUGUAAAGCACUUUCAGCGGGGAGGAAGGCGGUGAGGUUAAUAACCUCAUCGAUUGACGUUACCCGCAGAAGAAGCACCGGCUAACUCCGUGCCAGCAGCCGCGGUAAUACGGAGGGUGCAAGCGUUAAUCGGAAUUACUGGGCGUAAAGCGCACGCAGGCGGUCUGUCAAGUCGGAUGUGAAAUCCCCGGGCUCAACCUGGGAACUGCAUUCGAAACUGGCAGGCUAGAGUCUUGUAGAGGGGGGUAGAAUUCCAGGUGGAGCGGUGAAAUGCGUAGAGAUCUGGAGGAAUACCGGUGGCGAAGGCGGCCCCCUGGACGAAGACUGACGCUCAGGUGCGAAAGCGUGGGGAGCAAACAGG